GGCACUAGCCGUUGGCCCUGGGGGCUGGACAGAAGAAGUUUAACGAGUGCAGUCCAAUUCGCCUUCGUUUUAGGGCUUCACGGCCGCUGCGAGUCUUCAAGAUUUCUCUGCAUCAGCAGAUAGCGUCGGGUUUUUAGCUUCCUUCACUUCAUCCGCGGGACAUGUACGCGCUGCUCUCCCAUUAGGUGAAAAGCGUUCUUUCCAAAUGUAAGAGUUCUUUUGAAAAGCAGAGAUAUCGAAAGGCGGGGUUAAUUAAUCGCUGAGACUUUUAUAUGUUCCCCACCCUCAAAAAAGGAAAAUCAAGAAGAAAGGGAUCGUCUUCCAUCCUACGUUCAGCCUGUUUUUGGGAUAUCGGUCUUCUAUAAAAUCUUCACUACUCCUGACUCCUCAUAUCUCUAAUAAUAUAUAUCCACCAAUUUUGAAGACUAGUGAAGAUUAAAAUGGCUCAGAAAUCAUCAAACUUGAUGGCUUGGCUCGCUCUCUUCUCCUUGCUCCUUGCAGCUCUCUUUGCUGGAGCAGGGUGAGCGUGCGAAUUAAUUACCUUUUUCAUUUCCUCUCUCUCUCUUUGUAAAUGUAUAUAUUUGGGUAGGUUCAUGCAUGCAUGUAUGUAAAAUUUCAGGUGCUGAUGGGGCACAUGAUGAGAUGGGAGUGAAUAAAGAGCAGCAUUAUGGAUAUUGUACUCCUGUUCCAUGCUAUCAUACUCCCGGAGGGCUUUGUUAUUGCUGUCCGAAAUGGGACGGUUGCCCGUUGAACUUUGACACUCAAGCCAAGUGCGAGAAGGAAUGCCCCAAGUAGCUCCCAGGCCAGCCUCUGGCUACCUCCAUUUUCUUCAUCAAACCAGUAGUGCCAUGUUAGGUUUUUGCGUACGUAUUAUGCAAUAAGUGAGUUGAGCAUGCAGAGGGAAUAUAAUGAUCUUUGCUGCAUGCUUUCAUCGUGAAUUAUGUGCUUAGCAUUUCAUAUGAUGGAGCCAUGCAUUUAAUGAUAGUUUGUUUAAAUCUUAAAAUUUUUUAAGAUUUAAAUAUCUUGAGAUUA